GUGAUCAGGAAGUCAGAAAAGCAGAAACAUAAGCAAGGUUCAAGCUGGUGUAGACUCCUGGAGCUUUUUAAUCAGAUGCACCUAGAGCUGCGACAGUUGCAGGUGAUAAAUCAGGGUGCACUGGAAAGUAAAAAGUGAAAAAACAUCUACGUGAGUAAGAUGUCAAGAUGAGCGGUGGGAUGUAAAAAAAAUCACAAAUAAGCAAAGUUGCGCCAAAUAUACGGAAAAAUAAGCUCUACAAACUUUGAUAAAUCUGGGCCAUUGUGUAUACAAUGAUAGGCAAGGUGCAUGUGCUGAAACCAAAUACCACAACAGGUUAUAAGAUCUAUGUACCUUAAAUAUUCAGGAUCUUUUGUUACUUAUACAAAAAAAACACAAAAGUAUUUUAUUAGUUUUAUUAAUAUUAACAUGCAAAGUAACAAAAAUAUAAAGAAGAAAUCUUCCUCUUUUCUUUUAUGGAUCUCAUACUCCCCCGUCUUCGUGUAUUGAACAGCAAUGUUCGCCACAUAGCAGGUGGCACACAAGGUAGCAGCAGCACUUAGCACAAUGAAUGAAGAUGAAGAUAAUGGUGAGUAUUGCAACUUAUCCCAAUGAUCUUCAUGGCAAAUACAGAUUCAGGGUCGCUGAACUUACGUUUUUUUUUCACAGGAUCUCUUUGCACAGACAACCUAAAGUCGGACGUCCACUUCCCCUGCAGCCAGUGAUAGUAGGUCCCUUCGUCUCUGUAUUGGAUGGAGCAAAAGUCCAGAUGGCCUCCAGGUUCAAUGAAGACUCUCAUAGACUUGCCAGCCCCAAUUAGAUACUCUGCCAGAUAAAGUCGCUCAUUGCCUUUGUCCCAGGCCACUACAUGUUCCAGUUUGACUCCCAGACAAGAAAUACUCAGCCUGCUGUCCAUUGAUUGAGUAUGGUUCCUUAGAGAUCCAUGGGUCGUAACCUUUAAGCUUUCCUAUAGUGUGCAUCAGAGUGCUGAACUUGGCCAUAUCUCCCUUCUUUGGCACAUGGCAUUUAGUCAUGCAGCUCUGGACGAUGAUCUCUGGUCUUCGCUUGGAGAGAAAUGUUUGAAUUGAGGUGGAACGACUUCUGAGCCACAAGAAAAGAUACACAGGCAUCCGUGGAGUCCUGAAUAUCAACAUUGUAUCCAUAGAAGAAGUUACCAAUCUGUUGCCGCACAGAUAAUUUCUGUAGUUUGCCUUCCUUUUUUUUGUUAAUUUCUGUAGUUUGCUUUCCUUUUUUGUAAAUUUUUUGGGCACUUUCCUUGUCUAAGUUUUCAUUUUUUUUGCAAUUUUGCAGGUCCUUUUCUUGGUGUUCUCACUCCCACAGUGUUCCCCUUUUCUCCGGAUACUCUGGUGUAGCUAGCAGAGGUAGGUCACCUGGUAUUUUGCAUUCCUUUUUUUUUGUUUUUUUUUGGCACUUUCCUUGUCUUAUUUUAAUUUUUUUUGUAGUUCUGCAGGUCCCUUUUCUUGCCGUUCUCACUCCCACAGUGCUCCCUUUUCUUCACAUACUCGGGUGUUGCUCGCUGAGCAAUGUUCGCCACAUAGCAGGUGGCACACAAGGUAGCAGCAGCACUUAGCACAAUGAAUGAAGAUGAAGAUAAUGGAUCUCUUUGCACAGACAACCUAAAGUCGGACGUCGACUUCCCCUGCAGCCAGCGAUAGUAGGUCCCUUCGUCACUGUAUUGGAUGGAGCAAAAGUCCAGAUGGCCUCCAGGUUCAAUGAAGACUCUCAUAGACUUGCCAGCCCCAAUUAGAUACUCUGUCAGAUAAAGUCGCUCAUUGCCUUUGUCCCAGGCCACUACAUGUUCCAGUUUGACUCCCAGACAAGAAAUACUCAGCCUGCUGUCCAUUGAUGGAGUAUGGUUCCUUAGAGAUCCAUGGGUCGUAACCUUUAAGCUUUCCUAUAGUGUGCAUCAGAGUGCUGAACUUGGCCAUAUCUCCCUUCUUUGGCACAUGGCAUUUAGUCAUGCAGCUCUGGACGAUGAUCUCUGGUCUUCGCUUGGAGAGAAAUGUUUGAAUUGAGGUGGAACGACUUCUGAGCCACAAGAAAAGAUACACAGGCAUCCGUGGAGUCCUGAAUAUCAACAUUGUAUCCAUAGAAGAAGUUACCAAUCUGUUGCCGCACAGAUAAUUUCUGUAGUUUGCCUUCCUUUUUUUGUUAAUUUCUGUAGUUUGCUUUCCUUUUUUGUAAAUUUUUUGGGCACUUUCCUUGUCUAAGUUUUCAUUUUUUUUGCAAUUUUGCAGGUCCUUUUCUUGGUGUUCUCACUCCCACAGUGUUCCCCUUUUCUCUGGAUACUCUGGUGUAGCUAGCAGAGGUAGAUCACCUGGUAUUUUGCAUUCCUUUUUUUUGUUUUUUUUUGGCACUUUCCUUGUCUUAUUUUAAUUUUUUUUCUAGUUCUGCAGGUCCUUUUCUUGCCGUUCUCACUCCCACAGUGCUCCCUUUUCUUCACAUACUCGGGUGUUGCUCGCUGAGGUAGGUCGCCUGGUAGUUUUCCUUCCAUCAUUUGGUUGGGAACAUUACCAACAUACAGGCAGAGAUUUUUCAAAUC